rnacentral:rRNA from 1 species
AACGAACGCUGGCGGCAUGCCUAACACAUGCAAGUCGAACGGGAUCCUGGUUUCGGCCAGGUGAGAGUGGCGGACGGGUGGGUAACGCGUGGGAACCUGCCCAGUGGUGGGGGAUAACUGCGGGAAACUGCAGCUAAUACCGCAUGAGCCCGCAAGGGGAAAGAUUGAUCGCCAUUGGAGGGGCCCGCGUUCGAUUAGGUAGUUGGUGAGGUAACGGCUCACCAAGCCUACGAUCGAAGCUGGUCUGAGAGGAUGAUCAGCCACACUGGGACUGAGAUACGGCCCAGACUCCUACGGGAGGCAGCAGUGGGGAAUAUUGGACAAUGGGGGCAACCCUGAUCCAGCAAUGCCGCGUGAGU